CAACCAACCCUCCAUGCACCUGACCUCUUUUUUUAGGACGUAACUAUGACAAGGAUGGUGACCUGAAGGACUGGUGGACACCAGACUCCACUCAAAGAUUCCUGGAGCUGUCAAAGUGCAUUGUCGAUCAGUAUGGCAACUUCUCUUGGGACCUGGCAAAUGGACUUCAUUUAAAUGGCAACGACACCCUCGGGGAGAACAUUGCUGACAAUGGAGGGAUACGACAAGCAUACCAGGCCUACAGGAACUAUGUGAAGGUGCACGGAAAGGAGCCACCGCUCCCUGGCAUCGACCUUUCCCACGAUCAACUCUUCUUCCUAAACUUUGCUCAGGUGUGGUGUGGAACAUACCGACCAGAGCAAGCUGUUAAUACAAUUAAAGUAGAUGUACACAGUCCAGGGAAGUUCAGGGUUCUGGGCUCACUUCAGAAUUUCCCAGAAUUUGCCAAAGCAUUCAACUGCAACAAGAGCAACUACAUGGUCCCUGACAACAUCUGUCGUGUGUGGUGAGCCACAGAUUUCAGCAACGGGGGCUAUUCUGAUGUGGGUCAUCCCCGUACCCCCUACGGCACCUCUCCCCUCUGACUGUUGGAGCACACAUGGGGGGCUCCAGGAAAGUGAAAGCUCUCCUUGGCUCUCUACUGGAGGGCUGGUGGACUGACACUGCAGUAUGCACUUCUUCUUAGGACAGCAGCAGACUCUACCCGCACAGACAGAGACAGACAGACCUGCCUCUCCAACUCUGAUACUGUAGUUCAUUCAAUCAGCCUGAUUUUUCUGCUACUCACUGGAUACAAUCACUCCCUGUGUUUUUGUUUUUCUCUCCAUUUUCAUUUUCUUUUACUUAUCAUUUGUGAGUCUAUCAGCAUGCAUGUGUUGCGUGUGUGCGCACAUGCGUGUGUGUAAGUCAAGAGAGGAA